CAGCCGCCGCGGGAAUACGUAGGGUGCAAGCGUUAACCGGAAUUACUGGGCGUAAAGCGUGCGCAGGCGGUUAUGUAAGACAGAUGUGAAAUGCCCGGGCUUAACCUGGGAACUGCAUUUGUGACUGCAUGGCUAGAAUCUGGCAGAGGGGGGUAGAAUUCCACGUGUAGCAGUGAAAUGCGUAGAUAUGUGGAGGAAUACCGAUGGCGAAGGCAGCCCCCUGGGCCAAGAUUGACGCUCAUGCACGAAAGCGUGGGGAGCAAACAGGAUUAGAUACCCCUGUAGUCCCUGUCUCUUAUAC
rnacentral:rRNA from 1 species